UACGGAGGAUCCAAGCGUUAUCCGGAAUCAUUGGGUUUUAAAGGGUCCGUAGGCGGUUUUGGUAAGUCAGUGGUGAAAGCCCUUCGCUCAACGGUGGAACGGCCAUUGAUACUGCCAGACUUGAAUUAUUAGGAAGUAACUAGAAUAUGUAGUGUAGCGGUGAAAUGCUUAGAGAUUACAUGGAAUACCAAUUGCGAAGGCAGGUUACUACUAAUGGAUUGACGCUGAUGGACGAAAGCGUGGGUAGCGAACAGG
rnacentral:rRNA from 1 species